AACGCACAUUGCGCCCUUUGGUAUUCCUUAGGGCAUGCCUGUUCGAGCGUCAUUUAAACCUUCAAGCUCAGCUUGGUGUUGGGUGUCUGUCCCGCCUCGGCGCGGACUCGCCUUAAAUUCAUUGGCGGCCGGUACAUUGGCUUCGAGCGCAGCAGAAACGCGAACUCGAGGACAAUGGAUCAGCUCCCAUAAGCUAUUUUCUAUUUUUGACCUCGGAUCAGGUAGGGAUACCCGCUGAACUUAA
rnacentral:misc_RNA from 1 species